rnacentral:rRNA from 1 species
UACGUAGGGUGCGAGCGUUAAUCGGAAUUACUGGGCGUAAAGCCCGCGCAGGCGGCUUUGCAAGACAGAUGUGAAAUCCCCGGGCUCAACCUGGGAACUGCAUUUGUGACUGCAAGGCUAGAGUACGGCAGAGGGGGAUGGAAUUCCGCGUGUAGCAGUGAAAUGCGUAGAUAUGCGGAGGAACACCAAUGGCGAAGGCAAUCCCCUGGGCCUGUACUGACGCUCAUGCACGAAAGCGUGGGGAGCAAACAGG